AUUGAACGCUGGCGGCAUGCCUUACACAUGCAAGUCGAACGGCAGCACGGGAGCAAUCCUGGUGGCGAGUGGCGAACGGGUGAGUAAUAUAUCGGAACGUGCCCAGUCGUGGGGGAUAACGUAGCGAAAGCUACGCUAAUACCGCAUACGAUCUACGGAUGAAAGCGGGGGAUCGCAAGACCUCGCGCGAUUGGAGCGGCCGAUAUCAGAUUAGGUAGUUGGUGGGGUAAAGGCUCACCAAGCCGACGAUCUGUAGCUGGUCUGAGAGGACGACCAGCCACACUGGGAGUGAGACACGGCCAAGACUCCUACGGGAGGCAGCAGUGGGGAAUUUUGGACAAUGGGCGCAAGCCUGAUCCAGCAAUGCCGCGUGCAGGAUGAAGGCCUUCGGGUUGUAAACUGCUUUUGUACGGAACGAAACGGCGAGCUCUAAUACAGUUUGCUAAUGACGGUACCGUAAGAAUAAGCACCGGCUAACUACGUGCCAGCCGCCGCCGUAA
rnacentral:rRNA from 1 species